CGUGGACCCUCUUCUCCUUGGAUCAGAUGCUUGUUUUUGAUGUCGGCUUGUUGUGGACCAAUGUGAGAAGAUGAGCUUCCUGGGAAUUCAUUCGUUUGCUUGUGGCACUAACUCUAGUCACUUAGGGAAAAUAUCGUUGCACCUGACUUCAUCUCAUGUGGCUGUGGGUAGACCUGUGCAGUUAGUCAGCUCCCGGCCUGGAAAUUAACACAAAGGAAAAACCUGACCACACAGGCCUUCCCUAGAGGCCACAGCUGCACAGCCUUCAGGGAAGCUGUGGUCUGAGGGUGGCUGGUAGAACUGCCAGAGAGUAGGGCAUUUUCCAUGGCUCCAGAUCACCUUCUGAAAAUGCG
rnacentral:lncRNA from 1 species